rnacentral:rRNA from 1 species
GAUCAUGGCUCAGAUUGAACGCUGGCGGAAUGCUUUACACAUGCAAGUCGAACGGUAGAGGGGGCAACCCCUUGAGAGUGGCGAACGGGUGAGUAAUAUAUCGGAAGUGCCCAGUCGUGGGGGAUAACGUAGCGAAAGUUACGCUAAUACCGCAUACGAUCUACGGAUGAAAGCGGGGGAUCGCAAGACCUCGCGCGAUUGGAGCGGCCGAUAUCAGAUUAGGUAGUUGGGUGAGGUAAAGGCUCACCAAGCCGACGAUCUGUAGCUGGUCUGAGAGGACGACCAGCCACACUGGGACUGAGACACGGCCCAGACUCCUACGGGAGGCAGCAGUGGGGAAUUUUGGACAAUGGGCGCAAGCCUGAUCCAGCAAUGCCGCGUGCAGGAUGAGGGCCUUCGGGUUGUAAACUGCUUUUGUACGGAACGAAACGGUGAGCUCUAAUACAGUUUGCUAAUGACGGUACCGUAAGAAUAAGCACCGGCUAACUACGUG